rnacentral:rRNA from 1 species
AAUCAACGCUGGCGGCGUGCCUAACACAUGCAAGUCGAACGAGAAAGUCCGCAAGGAUGAGUAGAGUGGCGCACGGGUGAGUAACACGUGGAUAACCUGCCCUGGAGUGGGGGAUAACAUCUCGAAAGGGGUGCUAGUACCGCAUGACACCCUGGCUGGAAGGCUGGGGUUAAAAGGAGCGAUUCGCUCCGGGAGGGGUCCGCGGCUGAUUAGCUAGUAGGUGGGGUAAGAGCCCACCUAGGCGACGAUCAGUAGCCGUCCUGAGAGGGAGCACAGCCACACUGGAACUGAGACACGGUCCAGACUCCUACGGGAGGCAGCAGUGGGGAAUUUUUGGCAAUGGGGGAAACCCUGACCAAGCAACGCCGCGUGGAUGAUGAAGUAUCUUGGUACGUAAAAUCCUUUCGGCAGGGACGAAUUGAAUUGACGGUACCUGCGGAAGAAGCUCCGGCCAACUCCGUGCCAGCAGCCGCCGUAA